CAGUAUAACCAGGCUACUAAAAAAAG
rnacentral:piRNA from 1 species